CGCGCCGAACGUCGAACCGAAUACAUGGGGGUGUUAUACGUUUUUUCACAUUAAAUUCUUGUACGAAAUAACGUUAUAUUUCACGCGCUGAUCAUCGAAACACAACAUCAUCGUUGGGAAAAUUCGUUAGUGAUUAUCAAUAAAAGAGUGACGUUCGAUAUUAUCGACCAUUUUAGUGCAGUGUCGUAACGAAAGUUCUACUUUUUUUUCGCGUACUUUUUUCCGUAAACUCGCUUCGAUUCGAUUGUCGUCGAUGAUCGUGCACAACGAAAAGGAAAACCUUCUUCAAUUACGUGAUCUAUCUUUAUUACUAAGCACAAUUGACAGCAUGCAUUUGAGUGAUGAUGGAUAGCAUUUCUCCGGUGAAUGCAUACCAGUGAAACGUUCUGUUCGCGAGACCACGUGAUCAGUGUUGGGAGGUUAUGUAAACGACGCAUUUACAAAGCAGCGAUAUUAUAAUCUGUCAGACAUCGAUAUUUGUGCAUUGCGUAUAACCACGUUGUUGAUUGGCUGUAAUUUCGAUAUCUCGAAUAAUCGAUGAGAAUAAUUGCCUGUACAUAUAACGCCUGAUCUGUUUUCGAGUUCAAUCGAUACUAAUUAAUCGAUAUUAGUACGUUAAACGGUCAAUGUGCCGAAAACGUUUCAAAUUUAGUUUAAUAUGCGCAACACGGAGAAACGGACCGGUUCAAUGGCGUCGAUUUGACUUCGUGAAAUUCGUGUUUGUCCUUCGAAGCAUAAAGUCCUCGUGUUCACAUGCCACACCUGUGUUUUUACUUUUUUUCGAAAGUGUUUCACGGUUAAUCUACACUCUUCGAUGAACAAGGGCGUAUGAUAUGUUAAUGUUUGUGUCGCGUUCACUUAAAUCUUGUGUGUUCUGUGUGUGCCAGAUGUCAAGACGAUAAUUGGUGCUGUCUUAAGGACGAGUGAUUCAUGUCACCAUGCUGACGAUUGUUUUCCUGCUCGUUCUGGGCCAACUGGUGGUACAGGCGGACUAUUUUGAGAAUAUUUCAAAAGAGGAAUAAUGGAAUAUAAACGUCAUGGUAACAGAGAAUAUUCGAGACGAGGAAUAAUGUAAAAGCGUCAUCAACUAGUGCACAUCGUUCAGUGAAUCGUUCUCACUUGCACAGCCGACGAAUCGACGAGGAGGAGGGUGGUGAAGAGGGAGGGGUGUUUGACGGGCGUUUUCAGAGGCAAAGGGAUAGAAAGGAAAACGAAUGGGGGAAAUAUUAAGCCGGCAAAGACGAAAGUCUCCUUGGCUGAUUUGACAUUUCCGUGUGCGUGUGUGCUCGCCGAGGUCCGUGUUUUCAUCGCUUCGAAACGGAAGCUUCGGGAAGAAGAGAAAUGGGAAUAUUGGGAAAAUUGCUUUCGUCGGUGUCCCUGGUGUCCAUCUGGUGUCUGCUGAUCGUCGAGCCCGGCAAGGUUCAGAGGGAACAGGAUCAUCUGG
rnacentral:lncRNA from 1 species